rnacentral:rRNA from 1 species
CCGGCGGUAAAAGAUGGGCAUGCGUCCUAUUAGCUUGUUGGUGAGGUAAUGGCUCACCAAGGCUACGAUAGGUAGGGGACCUGAGAGGGUGAACCCCCACACUGGUACUGAGACACGGACCAGACUCCUACGGGAGGCAGCAGUGAGGAAUAUUGGGCAAUGGAGGAAACUCUGACCCAGCCAUGCCGCGUGCAGGAAGACGGCCCUCUGGGUUGUAAACUGCUUUUAUAUGGGAAUAAACCCUUCCACGUGUGGAAGGCUGAAGGUACCAUAAGAAUAAGGAUCGGCUAACUCCGUGCCAGCAGCCGCGGUAAUACGGAGGAUCCAAGCGUUAUCCGGAUUUAUUGGGUUUAAAGGGUCCGUAGGCGGGUCUUUAAGUCAGUGGUGAAAGCCUGCAGCUUAACUGUAGAAUUGCCAUUGAUACUGAAGACCUUGAGUGUAGUAGAAGUAGGCGGAAUAUGGCAUGUAGCGGUGAAAUGCAUAGAUAUGCCAUAGAACACCGAUUGCGAAGGCAGCUUACUAUGUUACAACUGACGCUGAGGGACGAAAGCGUGGGUAGCAAACAGGAUUAGAUACCCUGGUAGUCCACGCCGUAAACGAUGAUUACUCGCUGUUAGCGAUAUACAGUUAGCGGCCAAGCGAAAGCAUUAAGUAAUCCACCUGGGGAGUACGCCGGCAACGGUGAAACUCAAAGGAAUUGACGGGGGCCCGCACAAGCGGUGGAGCAUGUGGUUUAAUUCGAUGAUACGCGAGGAACCUUACCAGGGUUUAAAUGGAAAUUGACAGACGCCGAAAGGUGUCCUUCUUCGGACAAUUUUCAAGGUGCUGCAUGGUUGUCGUCAGCUCGUGCCGUGAGGUGUUGGGUUAAGUCCCGCAACGAGCGCA